CGGUUCUGGUCUGCGUAUUUUCUCAUUUCCCCACUCCACCUGAGGGGGCCGUUCUGGGAACGGUCCCGCCGGAGGCGCCGGGGCCGUUCUCGGAACGGCCCCAUCGAACGGGUUGUGGUCGUCUCGCUCGGUGGUAACUCGGGUUCCCAAGGUUUGCGACGGUUGUUGAUGUAACCUGGGUCCCGAGCCCUCCGUGGAGACACCGCCGUACGUCUAGAAACAGUUCUAGUACUUAUGUACUCUAGUCUACUCCUGGUCUUCUGCUGCUGGGAGCCGCCCUAAGAUCGGCUCCUUUAGGUAUUCUGGGGGCCGUUCGCGGAACGGCCCGUACUGGCGUCGUGGCGCCGUUCUGGGAACGGCUCCCGUAGUCGUUCCGGUGUCGGUCCGGGCGUGGUCGGUUCUGAGGUGGGAGCAGGGUUUCGUCGACGAUCGAGUUGGUCAACCCGUCCGUGGACGCACCGCUGCCCGCCGAAGGUCUGGUUGAGUCGUUCGUGAACGCACCAUCGUACGUCUAGAAGCACUUCCGGGAUGGUGGCGCGGUGGAGUCGUCGGACGGACGGAUGUACCGCUACGUGUGUAGCGACCGGACCCGCGCACAGCUUUACUCCGUCUCGCCGCUGCCUGUCCUGCCCGGAGCAAGGGCAGGGUUAUUUUGAUUACCCGUGGAUUCAUCGCGUAAAUUACGCGAAACAGACCAUUACGGCUCGCUAUUCGAGCGCGUGAUAUGUGGAAAGGUGGAGGACACACGGUGACACAGUUGGGGAAAAAGGAUACUUUCCUCCGGACUCCGCUGGUCCUCUUCCUAAGCCGAGAAGCCUUGAUGCGUCGGUGGCAUCGAUCAAGCUCUCGAGUUCUUGUGAGACUUUAUCUGUGGUUUCAUCCUGAUCCCAUAAUGCGUAGGAGCGCCGGACUUGGACCCAUUUGCUAGAAACACGAUCGAGGAUUUGGACGAGAAGAGUGUUGGGGCGCGGGCGGUUGCCAUCUUCCCUAAGGUCACUAGGGUAUCCACAGUAAAGGGGGCUGUUCCACGAUAACAUUAAAUGUAUAAUUGAUGAGGGAGGCAAGAUCUUAUUCAAAGAACCAAAAUCAACUUGAUUUUGUAGCUGUGAACAAAACCUUGCCUCCCAUUGCUAGGCACCUACAACAGUGGCAACACAACAUGUUAUCUUAUUCGAAGUUUAUAGUUUAUUAUAUCACAGCUGUUAACCAUAAUAACUUAAAAAGAUAGCUUACAACUACGUACAAUGGUCAUGAAAACCCUCAUCAUCUAGCACGGCAAGGAGGUACAGUACAAUAAUCGUAUCUUUUCAGUCACAACAAGGCAGAUGAAUACCAAUAGAUUUUUACAACAAUCGUAAACAUUCACACAAAAAUCAAGGAUGGAAAUCUUAUAAGAACACAUAUGAUACAAGAAGGUUUCAUAAGGGAAAAAGAACGCAAAGAGUACUUGAGGAAUUCGAAAUACACCUUGUGAUAGUUCACAAAAACUACGACAAACCGGAUGAAGGACAUCGUAUCUAGUUUGGAGGUCGGUUCGACACAACGAACACUUACAGUCUUUAACCAAACACAUAGGUCGGGUGAUUGUAUAACGGUAUUGUAGACCCAUCAAACACGAAACAUAGAACCCGAUAGGCACUUCGACCUACCGUGUGCCGUCAUCAUGAGAGAUCGUAUGGACCAGUCGGCAACAUAAAGAUAACGUAGAACGUUCCGUUGUAUAUUAAGCCAAGAAUCUAAAGGAACUAUAGUAAGCUAGGUCAGAUAAACAUGACGUUUUACAUACUUUCCCGUAGGUGUAACUUAAAGUUAAAUUCGAAAAGUGUGUGGUCGUUCACAAAGCUGACCAAUCAUGUAACAAAAUAUACUAAGAGUAUCAUAAGGUUGUAUCAAUGUAAGAAAGAGAUGAAAUUAAAAGUUAACCUAAUACGAAGUGCUCUAUUUAUAAAACAACUCAAACGAGGGUGAUGAUAAGUACUCUUCUUCAAACGAAUACACCUCUCAUUAUUUUUAAUAUACGAACACGUAGUACUUUACUCACGAAAUACACUAUCAAUAUAACAACUUAAGUAAGUACUACGAUGACUUUUUAAUAAUACUCCCUCCUUAUAUACGAACAUCCUUGACGUUAUUAAAGUUCAAAGGAGAGAUACACGAAUUUUAGAACUUCAAUACGGACAAAACGGAAGGAUACGAUCAACUAAAAACAAGGGUAUUCAACAAACGAGUGUUUUAGGGAUACGUAUCCUUCACCCAAUCUGAAUUUACACGAUCAGUAUAAGAAGUACUACGAGGGCAAUACAAAGUUAAGAAUAGAAAAUACACUGGUAGUAACUUUAGUAGUACGGAUCGAUCCCCGCAAUUUGCAAUCGCGAACAACCCUCCGUUGGGUUAAAAUAAAAACAAAGAAGGAAAAACCAAGACAAAUCAUUAUUUAUAAACUAGAUCGGAGACCAACCUACACCAAAAUACAAAAUCAAUCACAAACACGGUUCAUUUUGGAUAUCCUAGAAGAACCUACUAUUAAUAAACUAGAACGACUUUUUCUGUAUUUGAAAGAAGAGUGCUUUUGUUAACAAUUUUUAGUGGUCUUUCUCUAUUUUAUGACUAAGGUUAACGUCAUCUAGUUAUUUUUUUUAUAGAUCCAGAAGGAUAAAAACAUCUAAAAAGAAUCAAGGUCUUCAUAUGCAAACUAUGUCUAAUGAUGUCCGAUAAGACAAAAACUGUCUAAGACAAAAGAUACACAACAAACGAAUAAAACUACUUAGAUAAUCAUCAUAGCCUCCCAUACUUGGUAUCUCUUCAACCUUAUGACAUCUAUAAUGUGGUUAUACUUAAAUCUUACUCAAGUGUUGUCAUCGAUUCACCACUAAAUAAAAGAAUAUGAUUGCCUCGAAUGCUCAAAAGACAAUUCAAGACAUAACACUUCAAAAGUUCAAAACCCAUUUCUAAGCUACCUGAUACCUUAUUCCUCACCGUUCUCGGAUUCUAACCCCUACGGGUUCCGUGGGGUUCCAUUAUAAGUUCCUAUUAGUUCUCGGAUUCGAACCCCUCCGUGGCCUACCGUAGGGGAGGAAGCAGAAGCAAGUAGCCAUUGAAAUGAACCUCGAUAUAAAAAUAAGUGGUGUACUAUACACAAAACGAACCUCGUAGUAAAAUAAAACAAUCAUAAACGAAAUAAAAUAAAUCUUAUUACAAAACUUAGAGAUAAAAGUUAUUUUUACAGUUCCUAUCGGAAAUGGUACGAAUAAAACGUUCAUAUGUACAAAGACAAAGUUUUGUCUUUCAAAUGGCGACAACGUUUUUAAGGGAUCUUUUCAGUCUUACACUAUUUUACAACUUUGGAAAACGUAUUAUUCUACACUAUUUAAAUUAUGUCACCCUUAAAAGAAAGUAUUAAAAACCUCGAUCCCUUCAUACCUAGAAAGACGUAAGAAAUGUCUGACAGGACAAAUCCGUCUAACCACAAUACAAACGUAACAAACGUAUACAAACGAAUAAAUUACUAAGAUAAACUACUAUCCUGAUAAUUUAUACGUCUCCGUAAAUCAUACGUUACAACUUAUUAUUAAAAUCACUAAAAGAUGUCAUCUCAUACUAUUCCAAAAACGUAACCAAAUAUGAUUGAAUAGAGUGCUCAGGAACGACUCAAAACACACCUACUUCGAAAAACUCUAAAUCCCUCUGGCACUAUACUCUCCUUAAUUCCUCUGUGUUUGCGAGUUCGAACCCCUACGGGUUCCUUAGGGUUCUAUUAAAAAGUUCUUCAGAGUUCGCAGAUUCGAACCCCUACGGGGCCAACCGUAGGGUGGAAAGAAGAAGUUGUUGAUAGCACAAAGCUUCUUUUCCUUAUAGUUUGCCUCAGGUUUGCCUUACUUUGGAAGCCCUCUCAAUAAAAACCUUGCCUUCGUUAGGUCCUCUGAAUCUCAUCUGUAGUCCCUUCGAAGCUCCUUCGGUGCUCCGUCCCUCCGCGCGGGGGUGGGAGCACCGAGGGGACUAGCUGAAGAAAGCGGAUAUAUACAGGUAUAUGGGAUUUUUGUACCUCCUCGUGUUAUCUAGCCCUCAAGGCGGUGGCGUUCGGAGUCAUCGGUGGCUUUUGGUUAGCCCUGGGACAAGGCCGUGGGACGGCCUCCCCCCUAGGGAGUGGCUACCGGUAUAAGUAGUAGGGCCGUAAGAGGUACUGCUCCUCCCUCAUCAAGUAGGAGCCCCGACUCCCAUACAUGGUCAUCGAUACACAAACUAGAGAGAGAGAGAGCACAAGAACUAAAUCGUGCUAGAACUACAUAGCGCUCGAAACGAUAAUAUCAACCUAAAAUACUACAAACAGGGGGAGAUGAGAGAACAUUACCUAACUCCAAAGGGAAACUUCAAUAGAAUAGCCUAGCUCAGAAAUUCCUAAACUCUUGUGAACUACAUACAGAACGUACACGAAUAGACACCACUGUUACCCUAUAAGUGCACUAGAUGA
rnacentral:rRNA from 1 species